rnacentral:rRNA from 1 species
CCUACGGGAGGCAGCAGUGGGGGAUAUUGCACAAUGGGGGGAACCCUGAUGCGGCGACGCCGCGUGGGUGAAGAAGCGCCUCGGCGCGUAAAGCCCUGUCAGCAGGGAAGAAAAUGACGGUACCUGUAGAAGCAGCCCCGGCUAACUACGUGCCAGCAGCCGCGGUAAUACGUAGGGGGCAAGCGUUAUCCGGAUUUACUGGGUGUAAAGGGGGCGCAGGCGGGGAUGCAAGCCAGGAGUGAAAGCCCGGGGCCCAACCCCGGGACUGCUGUUGGAACUGCGUGGCUGGAGUGCAGGAGGGGCAGGCGGAAUGCCUGGUGUAGCGGUGAAAUGCGUAGAUAUCAGGAGGAACACCGGUGGCGAAGGCGGCCUGCUGGACUGCAACUGACGUUGAGGCCCGAAAGCGUGGGGAGCGAACAGGAUUAGAUACCCGAGUAGUC